GUUCAUCAAUGCGCAUCGUACCUAUACAGGUAUGAUGCGUAUUGAUGAACGCAACCACUACUGCUAGCCAGGUGGCCCGUAUGAUGUCCGGGAGAGUGAGAGAGAAAGUAUAUCUAAAAACAGGCCUACCUAAAAUUCUUGUUUUCCCGACGUUGCUAGCUCUCGUACUAAAAGUAAGAAACUCUCUUUCCGAAUUUGCAGUAUUCAUUAAGCUUUCACAAAAACACAACCGUUGGGGAAAGGAAAAGCGGAAAGAAAAUCCCUGCAAUUCAAUCCUUGGAAACGACGACGUUCAUUUGGAGCAUUUCUAUAAAGCUAGCGAGCAUCGGCAGCAGGAAGCAAGAAAUUUAUCCGAAGAAACAAAAACGCAGAGCUCAGAGUCUGACACAUUGGCAAACAAAAAGUAUUCGAACCGAAAGAAAAAUAGACAGCAAACGGUGUUAUCAGUUCAGUUGUAAAAUGACGGCGAGCCAACUUGAUCCUUGUUAAAGUACUGUGAAAUAGCAAGCCGAAAGAGGGCAACUCUCGUGAAAAAUGGCUUGUUUAUACUCCUGGUUGCCUUAUCUAUUUCUUUAUUCCCAGCUGUAAUUUCUGAUGGCCAUUUCUCUUGGCAAAGACGAUAUGGUGCAGAUUUUUGAAACGUACUAAAUUCUGAGUUUAAAAUAAAUAUUUUAUGAAUUUGA